rnacentral:rRNA from 1 species
GGUUAAGCGACUAAGCGUACACGGUGGAUGCCCUGGCAGUCAGAGGCGAUGAAGGACGUGCUAAUCUGCGAAAAGCGUCGGUAAGGUGAUAUGAACCGUUAUAACCGGCGAUGUCCGAAUGGGGAAACCCAGUGCAAUUCGUUGCACUAUCGUUAACUGAAUACAUAGGUUAACGAGGCGAACCGGGGGAACUGAAACAUCUAAGUACCCCGAGGAAAAGAAAUCAACCGAGAUUCCCCCAGUAGCGGCGAGCGAACGGGGAGCAGCCCAGAGUCUGAAUCAGCUUGUGUGUUAGUGGAACGGUCUGGAAAGUCCGACGGUACAGGGUGAUAGUCCCGUACACCAAAAUGCACAGGUUGUGAACUCGAAGAGUAGGGCGGGACACGUGGUAUCCUGUCUGAAUAUGGGGGGACCAUCCUCCAAGGCUAAAUACUCCUGACUGACCGAUAGUGAACCAGUACCGUGAGGGAAAGGCGAAAAGAACCCCGGCGAGGGGAGUGAAAAAGAACCUGAAACCGUGUACGUACAAGCAGUGGGAGCACCUUCGGGUGUGACUGCGUACCUUUUGUAUAAUGGGUCAGCGACUUAUAUUCUGUAGCAAGGUUAACCGUAUAGGGGAGCCGCAGGGAAACCGAGUCUUAACUGGGCGUUAAGUUGCAGGGUAUAGACCCGAAACCCGGUGAUCUAGCCAUGGGCAGGUUGAAGGUUGGGUAACACUAACUGGAGGACCGAACCGACUAAUGUUGAAAAAUUAGCGGAUGACUUGUGGCUGGGGGUGAAAGGCCAAUCAAACCGGGAGAUAGCUGGUUCUCCCCGAAAGCUAUUUAGGUAGCGCCUCGUGAACUCAUCUUCGGGGGUAGAGCACUGUUUCGGCUAGGGGGUCAUCCCGACUUACCAACCCGAUGCAAACUACGAAUACCGAAGAAUGUUAUCACGGGAGACACACGGCGGGUGCUAACGUCCGUCGUGAAGAGGGAAACAACCCAGACCGCCAGCUAAGGUCCCAAAGUCAUGGUUAAGUGGGAAACGAUGUGGGAAGGCACAGACAGCCAGGAUGUUGGCUUAGAAGCAGCCAUCAUUAAAGAAAGCGUAAUAGCUCACUGGUCGAGUCGGCCUGCGCGGAAGAUGUAACGGGGCUAAACCAUGCACCGAAGCUGCGGCAGCGACACUAUGUGUUGUUGGGUAGGGGAGCGUUCUGUAAGCCUGCGAAGGUGUGCUGUGAGGCAUGCUGGAGGUAUCAGAAGUGCGAAUGCUGACAUAAGUAACGAUAAAGCGGGUGAAAAGCCCGCUCGCCGGAAGACCAAGGGUUCCUGUCCAACGUUAAUCGGGGCAGGGUGAGUCGACCCCUAAGGCGAGGCCGAAAGGCGUAGUCGAUGGGAAACAGGUUAAUAUUCCUGUACUUGGUGUUACUGCGAAGGGGGGACGGAGAAGGCUAUGUUAGCCGGGCGACGGUUGUCCCGGUUUAAGCAUGUAGGCUGGUUAUCCAGGCAAAUCCGGAUAAUCAAGGCUGAGGUGUGAUGACGAGGCACUACGGUGCUGAAGUAACAAAUGCCCUGCUUCCAGGAAAAGCCUCUAAGCAUCAGGUAACAUCAAAUCGUACCCCAAACCGACACAGGUGGUCAGGUAGAGAAUACCAAGGCGCUUGAGAGAACUCGGGUGAAGGAACUAGGCAAAAUGGUGCCGUAACUUCGGGAGAAGGCACGCUGGUGUGUAGGUGAAGUCCCUGCGGAUGGAGCUGAGACCAGUCGAAGAUACCAGCUGGCUGCAACUGUUUAUUAAAAACACAGCACUGUGCAAACACGAAAGUGGACGUAUACGGUGUGACGCCUGCCCGGUGCCGGAAGGUUAAUUGAUGGGGUUAUCCGUAAGGAGAAGCUCUUGAUCGAAGCCCCGGUAAACGGCGGCCGUAACUAUAACGGUCCUAAGGUAGCGAAAUUCCUUGUCGGGUAAGUUCCGACCUGCACGAAUGGCGUAAUGAUGGCCAGGCUGUCUCCACCCGAGACUCAGUGAAAUUGAACUCGCUGUGAAGAUGCAGUGUACCCGCGGCAAGACGGAAAGACCCCGUGAACCUUUACUAUAGCUUGACACUGAACAUUGAGCCUUGAUGUGUAGGAUAGGUGGGAGGCUUUGAAGCGUGGACGCCAGUCUGCGUGGAGCCAACCUUGAAAUACCACCCUUUAAUGUUUGAUGUUCUAACGUUGGCCCCUGACCGGGGUUGCGGACAGUGUCUGGUGGGUAGUUUGACUGGGGCGGUCUCCUCCCAAAGCGUAACGGAGGAGCACGAAGGUUAGCUAAUCCUGGUCGGACAUCAGGAGGUUAGUGCAAUGGCAUAAGCUAGCUUGACUGCGAGCGUGACGGCGCGAGCAGGUGCGAAAGCAGGUCAUAGUGAUCCGGUGGUUCUGAAUGGAAGGGCCAUCGCUCAACGGAUAAAAGGUACUCCGGGGAUAACAGGCUGAUACCGCCCAAGAGUUCAUAUCGACGGCGGUGUUUGGCACCUCGAUGUCGGCUCAUCACAUCCUGGGGCUGAAGUAGGUCCCAAGGGUAUGGCUGUUCGCCAUUUAAAGUGGUACGCGAGCUGGGUUUAGAACGUCGUGAGACAGUUCGGUCCCUAUCUGCCGUGGGCGCUGGAGAAUUGAGGGGGGCUGCUCCUAGUACGAGAGGACCGGAGUGGACGCAUCACUGGUGUUCGGGUUGUCAUGCCAAUGGCACUGCCCGGUAGCUAAAUGCGGAAGAGAUAAGUGCUGAAAGCAUCUAAGCACGAAACUUGCCCCGAGAUGAGUUCUCCCUGAGACUAUAAGUCUCCUGAAGGAACGUUAAAGACGAUGACGUUGAUAGGCCGGGUGUGUAAGCGCAGCGAUGCGUUGAGCUAACCGGUACUAAUGAACCGUGAGGCUUAACCUU